GGCACGGUGGUGCAGUGGGUAGCACUGUCGCCUCACAGCAAGAAGGUACGGGGUUCGAAUCCAGCCUGGGCCU
rnacentral:tRNA from 1 species